rnacentral:lncRNA from 1 species
UCUUGCCCACUUAGUGCCAUAUUGGACAGUGAGUAAGAUGGUGAAUUAUUCGCCGUUUUUAAAAAGCUAUGAAUUAUUCACUAUUUUUAGGUUGUCAUCAUUGUUUACAAGUUUUUCUUUUGUGUAUGGGUUGUGAGGAUUUUUUUUGAUGUUGUUACAAUUAUAUGUGAAUUGUUGAAAAAUUUGUUUGGUUGUAAAGAUUGUAUGGGCAGGUUUUAGGAUUUUUUAAGUUGUUAUUGUUAUGUGAUUUGCUGAAACUUUUAUAUGAUUGAUAGGAUUAUAUAUGUGAAAUAAAAAGAAACCGCAUAUCGUUUAUCAUUUUUCUUUCUAAAAAAAUGUGGUAAAUGACUUGUUGUCUUUUAAAU